rnacentral:lncRNA from 1 species
AUUUUGCCAUAAUAUGUUUAUUUGAUUCUCUACACGAAUGUGCGUCAAGGAUGGCUAAAGAUUUAAAGAAAGGAAUUAGAGGACAAAUUAUUGCUCUAAGAAAUGAAGGUUACUCACAGCGACAAAUUGCUGUAAAGACAGGAGUGUCAAAAGGUGAUGUGCAGCGAACCGUGAAAGGUUCAGAAAAACUAAAUCUUAUCUGGGAGACCAAGGUGUACUACACCACAAAAGGAUCAAUUCAUCAAAAUAACUUCAUUGCGUAAUAGAACUGCAACUACUGGUAAUAUCCAAUCCUGAAUUAACGCAACCCGAGAAAAAACCCAUCAGCAAAACAACAGUAAGAAUUUGGAAAGGAA